GCGAACGUCGCCAAGCGGUUAAGGCGGUGGAUUGUGGUUCCACUAUUCGUGGGUUCGAAUCCCAUCGUUCGCC
rnacentral:tRNA from 1 species